CAGCAGCCGCGGGAAUACGUAGGUCCCGAGCGUUGUCCGGAUUUAUUGGGCGUAAAGCGAGCGCAGGCGGUUAGAUAAGUCUGAAGUUAAAGGCUGUGGCUUAACCAUAGUACGCUUUGGAAACUGUUUAACUUGAGUGCAAGAGGGGAGAGUGGAAUUCCAUGUGUAGCGGUGAAAUGCGUAGAUAUAUGGAGGAACACCGGUGGCGAAAGCGGCUCUCUGGCUUGUAACUGACGCUGAGGCUCGAAAGCGUGGGGAGCAAAUGGGAUUAGAUACCCCGGUAGUCCCUGUCUCUUAUACA
rnacentral:rRNA from 1 species